rnacentral:tRNA from 1 species
GGGGGUGUGGCUCAGUGGUAGAGCAUGUGCUUAGCAUGUACACGGCCCUGGGUUCAUUUCCCAGCACCUCCA